rnacentral:rRNA from 1 species
CAAUAGCGUAUGCUAAAGUUGUUGCAGUUAAAAAGCUCGUAGUCGAAUUUAUGAUUCUGUGAACCUGAUCCAAUCUCUAGUAGAUUGUGAAUCGGUGUGCACGAAUCAUCUAUCUGGAAAAUAGGAGUCGCCUUCACUGGUGUGCUCCUACGAUUCAGAUCAUUUACUGUGAGAAAAUCAGAGUGUUCAAAGCAGGCUUUAAUGCUUGAAUGGUUCAGCAUGGAAUAAUAAGAUAAGACUUGGGUUUUGUUUUGUUGGCUCAACGAACCAAAGUAAUGAUUGAAAGGGAUAGUUGGGGGUGCUAGUAUUUAAUGGUCAGCGGUGAAAUGCGAGGACCCAUUAAAGACUAACUUAUGCGAAAGCAUUCACCAAGGAUAUCUUCUUUGA